ACGGGUGAGUAAUGCCUAGGAAUCUGCCUGGUAGUGGGGGACAACGUCUCGAAAGGGACGCUAAUACCGCAUACGUCCUACGGGAGAAAGCAGGGGACCUUCGGGCCUUGCGCUAUCAGAUGAGCCUAGGUCGGAUUAGCUAGUUGGUGAGGUAGUGGCUCACCAAGGCAACGAUCCGUAACUGGUCUGAGAGGAUGAUCAGUCACACUGGAACUGAGACACGGUCCAGACUCCUACGGGAGGCAGCAGUGGGGAAUAUUGGACAAUGGGCGAAAGCCUGAUCCAGCCAUGCCGCGUGUGUGAAGAAGGUCUUCGGAUUGUAAAGCACUUUAAGUUGGGAGGAAGGGCAGCUAAUUAAUACUUCGCUGUUUUGACGUUACCGACAGAAUAAGCACCGGCUAACUCUGUGCCAGCAGCCGCGGUAAUACAGAGGGUGCAAGCGUUAAUCGGAAUUACUGGGCGUAAAGCGCGCGUAGGUGGUUUGUUAAGUUGAAUGUGAAAUCCCCGGGCUCAACCUGGGAACUGCAUCCAAAACUGGCAAGCUAGAGUAGGGCAGAGGGUGGUGGAAUUUCCUGUGUAGCGGUG
rnacentral:rRNA from 1 species